CCUUGUACACACCGCCCGUCACACCAUGGGAGUUGGCUUUACCUGAAGGCGGUGCGCCAACCGUAAGGAGGCAGCCGACCACGGUAAGGUCAGCGACUGGGGUG
rnacentral:rRNA from 1 species